CACUGAGAAACACACUCUCACACACACUAAAACAAACUCACUGCUCAAGUUUUUGUUUCAACAACUCUUUUAUAGAAACGUGACAGGGGCUCUCUGUAUCUCUGAACAGUGCAAUCCACUACUUUUCUCCAAAAAGCUAAACAUGAUGGUUAACAGAUUAUCACGAUUUAUUACCAACAGCACUCCAAACACUUAAUGACCAUGUGGAUUUUUUUACAACAUGAAAGCGUGAACAGCGGGUUAGGUUGGUCACAGUUAGCGACUAAUAUCUACAUCAAUGUUUACAGCCGAAGUACAGAGGGCAUAGACAACAGAAGUAAUGUGACACAUUAAGUACAGAGGGCAUAGACAACAGAAGUAAUGUGACACAUUGAUAAAACCUACAGCAUGUGGACAGUGGAGGGCGUUUUUGGUAAAAGAUUUGUGUUACCUUUGACUGGAGUCACUCUCAGUUCAAUCAGGCACAAUGAUAACCAAUGGGCUACGAAGCUUUUAGCUCCAUUACAGAAGGAACUCCUUAAAACAUUGGAUAUGUUCUUUAUGUCAAAGAUUUACUAUUUCUAAAUACCAAAAAUGUUCAAUGGAUUGAAAUGAGAGUAACAAAAAGUUGUGUGUACAGGAGUAUGUUUGUGUGCAGGCUUCAGAUCAGUAGCUCAGUUAUUAGGCAGAAAGCAUGACUCCUCACAGCAGGAACACACUGACUACUUUCUGCUUCUCUAACAGUAAAUCAAAGCCUCUCGCUGGAUGUUUCAGGCCCUGCUGCUGCUGCUGCUCCGGGUUUUCUGAUGGUUGCAGGUUCGGGGAGUCAGUGUGUGACCUGAUCUACAUCUAGCAGUCACAGGAACGACCUGCAGAUACACAGAGAGAAAAGAGGGAUGUGAGUUCAAGUGGAAUCUUACUGAAGAGGAUGGUGAUGCCAAUGAGACAGAGGACUGCAGCCAAAAUCAAGCCCCCAACACGCAGUCUGUGGUAGUCUGCAGGAAGGAGGACAGAGGGGUGGAUGACAUUUAAAAUGAAUAAAAGGUUACCAAGUGUCUCAGAACAGCUCGGCAGACAGCUCUUCAAGCGGAUCUAAUCAUAUUUAAUUAUAUAAAUCUGAUGAAAUAAUUAUUUCUCAAUUUUAGAGAAACUGUGAUUUAAU